rnacentral:lncRNA from 1 species
GGAACUCCCACAUACCCUGGCAUUUCAUCUCCUCAAUACCUUUCACCUCUUCCUGCUUCUUUCACAGACUGAUCAAGAAAACUGCUGGGGCUUGAGGGGCCUGGAAAAGCCACUCCCUCCUUGACCCCACUGCUACGUUGUGCACUGCUUGAUCUCUUGGAAAUUGCCAACCCUGGAGAGAAGCAGUUUUGACUUCCCUUCUGUCCUGGACAAACCACCAAGGGAACUUAAGAAUGUUUUAUUCACUUCUUAUGUGACAGCAGACUACUCACUAGGUGGUAUGAUCCAACUUAAUAAGAUAGGGGAUCCAGUGUAACACAGAGCCUAAGUCUCUGAGGGAGGAUUAUGGAGAUGAAAUGGGGUAAGUUAUUUAAAUCCAAGAAACCCAAACCUUAUCUGACGUACUAGAAAAGACAAAAGUGCUAAUGUUGGGUGAUUUCUAGUCUUAUCACACAGGUAGGUCCUAGGCUGUAUGGAAGCAGUUUGUGUAACAGAAGACCCCAUCUAACUCAGGUGGGAUUUAUGAGGUCCAGCUCCCUUUAGGCCCUAUCUGAGAAUCUCCACUCAGAAUUAAUGCACCAAAGUUAAAUCUGCACUAGAAAGCCAGGUAAGGCCUCAAGCACCUGAUAGGUUGAGGCCCUGCUUGGUUAGUCUCCAUAUCAACACUGUAAAAUGAGCUAAUCUAAUACC